CCGGCGCGCAUCAUUUUCGGCGCGGCAGAGGAGAUACACGCGAAGGGUGCGGUUGAGAGCGGCUCUUGGCGGAACUGCUGUUGGCCGUCUCUGUGUUUGUGUGAGAUGGAGAGAGAUGGCACCCAAAACGCGAAGCGGGUCCAAGGCUGCGACGCGAGGCCGCACACACGAUGCAGCAGCGACAUCGCAGUCGCCGAGAGGUAGCGUGAAUGCUGCUGAGAAAAAAAAAAAACAGCGCAGCCUGUCCGCGAGAGCAGAGGCAAAACGAAGUGUCGAGGGGCUAGUAGAAAAGGCCGCGGGUUUCGUUCGACGUUACAAGUGGUGGUGUAUUGCCCUGCUAACUGUUGCGUUGGCUCUCGUAGCGGCGCGUCUUGUGGUGCUGCUCUCACCUAGUGCGUAUGCCUCCCCGCGGGAGCGGCAUCCGUGCUCGUGCGCAGUGGUGGCUUCUACCUCCAAUCGGUUGGCAAAAGCAGUCCUCAGCCGUCGCACCGGGGUGAGCGGGGUCCACUGGCGAACAGAGGAGAAGGGGCUGGACUCACUGGCGUUUGCGACUCAGUGCAGCGGCAGCGCUGUCGUUACGCUGCCCGGACCCUUCGAGUCGGUCGAUCAGCUCAGGGCGGCGUUGGUAGCGCCUUUCAAGGGCCGUCGCAGCCGCUGUGUGGUAUGGGUGACUACCCCCGAAGCAGUGAAGCGAGUGGCGAACUCAUUGAAGGAGCUUAUGGAGAAUAAUGCGCUUAGCGGAAAGGCAGUGGUGCCAGCGCACAGCCGCGCCACACUCAUGCUCAAGUCGCCGGAAUCACGGGAGCAGUUAAAGUCCAGCUUGCCACACCGUGUGGUGCACAUGUUGACUGAGGUUUGACCUGGAUCACACCCAUAGAGAGUAUGUCUGCACCGUGUUCGCCAUAGCCCGUGUAUGUUAUCUCUCGUUCUCAUGGUGCACACCUUUGGGCUGCCUUUGCUUGGGUCAUCGUUGUGCCCCCCCCCCCACGUCCAUGCCUGCGAUCGAGCUAGAGUGGGUGUGAGAGGGCAUAGUGGCCUGCCGGAGGUUGGGGUACAUUUCUGCUGGUGAAUGCACCGGUGCAUCGGCGUGUUGUGCGAGUAUCGCC
rnacentral:misc_RNA from 1 species